rnacentral:tRNA from 1 species
AGGAGUGUAGCUCAAUUGGCAGAGCGUCGGUCUCCAAAACCGAAGGCUGUGGGUUCGACCCCCUCCACUCCUGCCA